AAGUCGUAACAAGGUUUCCGUAGGUGAACCUGCGGAUGGAUCAUUAAGAAGCAUCCUUUUUACUAUUAUAAAGGUCUUCAACCCUUGUGGUCUAAUAGAUUUGUAUUAGUUGGGUUAAAUUGAUCAACUAAACACAUGCGUGUUUGAUUGAUUUGCCCGACAUCAUCAUACUAAACCAUAUCACUUUUAUACAUUACUGACUGAUGUUGCCUUGCGACUAUUGUGAUUCUUCAUUGAUGAUGAUGAUCAAAAGUAACAAGUAAAACAAUUGUAAUCUUAAUACAACUGCUAGCAACGGAUCACUCGGCUCUCAC
rnacentral:misc_RNA from 1 species